ACCCUGCUGGCGCAAUGGUAGCGCGCAAGACUUCUACCGAAUUUCAGUGAUUUAAGGAGUAAAAUCUUGAGGCUGUGGGUUCGAGUCCCACGUGGGGUG